rnacentral:lncRNA from 1 species
UAUGCACAUACUUUAUACCUACAAUAUUUGGACAUACACUACAAAAUUUCUCACUGUUUAUCUGAAACACAUUUAACUAGAUGUCCUGUAGUCUAUCUAAAACUCUUUCAUAUGGUCAAUGAAAAAAGCAGUGUAGGUUCUUGAGCAGAAGGAUUACAUAGGAAAAUAGAAUUUUAAAAGGAUCACUUCCUGCUUCAUUAGUGUCUACCAGACCCCAAGACCAUUAUUCUUCUCUUUAUGACCCAGGGACUAAUCCAUUCAACAAACAUUUAUGCACCCCUGCUAUGUAUGAGGCACUGCACCUGCUACUGGAGACACAUAAUCAAACAAGUUUCCAUUCUUGCCUUCAAGAAACUCAAAGCCUUUCUUUGCUGGUUCUUAUUAUAGGAUUUUUUGGGGAAGGAUUACUAAAGGAUCGUGUAAGAACUGGCUUCUGGUUUGGGUCUACCCUACUCACCACUGAGAUGCUAAUGUGCAAGCUCUAUGAACAUUUAUUUUCAGCCAGUGUGGUUUGUGAUUUAAUAACCAGGCAGAGCACCGAAAUUAAAACUGGUAAUAUUUUAAGCUUGAAUGAGGAAAAGAGAGGGACACCAGAGGGAGUCUGAUAUUGUGAAACACAGCUCUAGCCUGCAAAAUUAUGGAUUUGGCUUCUGACCCUGAUCUCAGCCUCAAUUUGUCAGUUGACUUUAGGCAAGUCAUUAAUUU